UUUAAUUGAAGAGUUUGAUCAUGGCUCAGAUUGAACGCUGGCGGCAGGCCUAACACAUGCAAGUCGAGCGGUAACAGGAGAAAGCUUGCUUUCUUGCUGACGAGCGGCGGACGGGUGAGUAAUGUAUGGGGAUCUGCCCGAUAGAGGGGGAUAACUACUGGAAACGGUAGCUAAUACCGCAUGACGUCUACGGACCAAAGCAGGGGCUCUUCGGACCUUGCGCUAUCGGAUGAACCCAUAUGGGAUUAGCUAGUAGGUGAGGUAAUGGCUCACCUAGGCGACGAUCUCUAGCUGGUCUGAGAGGAUGAUCAGCCACACUGGGACUGAGACACGGCCCAGACUCCUACGGGAGGCAGCAGUGGGGAAUAUUGCACAAUGGGCGCAAGCCUGAUGCAGCCAUGCCGCGUGUAUGAAGAAGGCCUUAGGGUUGUAAAGUACUUUCAGCGGGGAGGAAGGUGAUAAGGUUAAUACCCUUGUCAAUUGACGUUACCCGCAGAAGAAGCACCGGCUAACUCCGUGCCAGCAGCCGCGGUAAUACGGAGGGUGC
rnacentral:rRNA from 1 species